AGAUUUGACAGCAGCCUUAAAAUGCCAACUGCAACUCACCUUUUGCAAAGAUGUUCCACUACAUCCUGAUACAUCACCUCACUGUAACUCUCACACACUCAGGUUUAGUUCAUUAUGAAGCACAUUACAUUGAACUACGUUGAUCCAACAUCCUAACCUUGAAUCCUUACAGAUCUCCAGUGAACAAACUAAUUUCAUGUUCACUUCAUACUGAUUUAAUUUGGACAGUUACCUGGUUAAUGUGUAUUCCCUGAGUCCUGAGUGAAGAUUCAUGGCUGAAAAGGUCCCGAUGCAGCCACGAAGCCGCUUGUCUCGCCCCGUCUUCCACGUCACAAAGAGUGGACUGCAAAGGCAAAAACAGAAAAAACCCUCCAGCCUCUAAGAUAUUUGGUUGCUAAGGGGAGACAACCAAGGAAUGAAAAGAAAUCCAAAUUAUUUUUUCCCUGUUAUUUCCACGAGGAUCUGACUUCUGGGUCCAUCCCUAAGUCUCAAGCAGUUUAUGUCCACAUUUUUGCUUACCUUACAUUUGGUUUGUAUUUACAUGUAUUUUCUCCUGUUGAACACAUAUCUAAAACACUAUUGUUCCUACUCAAACAUCACCUGGAUUCCCACCUUCCUGUCUACCAUCAUGAAUUUACAGGCACAACAGCAGAUUCUCAAACUCAGCAGGAUCAUUUCAAGCUGUUAAACCACAACUGAUUUGGCCUUCAAGAAUAACAACUUCAGAGUAACAGAAGAGAUAAAAAGGUAAAGAUGACUGUGAACAUUAAAUACAAAAAAAAUUAACUUCUACAGGAGUGAGUGAAAUUGCAAAGAGCCAUAGAAAGAAGCACUGAAAGGACAGUGGUGGUUGCAGCCCUACAAGAAUGUCCAAACAUCUGCAAAAUUUUGUAAGGCAACCGAUAAUGCUGACCUAAUUAUAAAAACAGGAUGAGGGAUUCUGUGACUGGUUCAGAGUACUGAAUGCAAGACAUCAGUCUGUGGAUUUCUACUGAACUUUAAGUAAUAUGAUAGCAUAUGAUUUUCUGAGAUUAAGAAAACAUUGACAGGAGAUUUGAACCAUCAAGACUGAUCUGACAACACAGCUCAGACACUCACUUUCCUCAAACUCUUGAAGCUUUUGUGAGCAAUGCACCACUGCAGCAAACCUUACAAAAAUACUGAGAUGUUCUGUUAGACAACAAAACCAGCAUGGAGUGUGGAUGAUUUCUCAAACACAGCAACAGAACUUCUUAUGUCUGAGUAGUGAGAACAUCAUUCAAAUUGCAGUAAUAACUCAGUGCCCACUGACGUUCCUCAGAGCAACAAUGGAAUGAAAUCCAUCAGCAUAAACUCAUCAUUCAGGAUCCAGUAACCAGCUGUGAGCAAUGGCAAAAGCAAUGCCCAAAAGA